GGAGUGCCACGAAUAGUGCGAGAGCAUCCAAACCCGCGUAUCCAUACAAAAAAGGGCGUAUGGGAUAUGCACGCUUAGAGGAUAAACUUUUAGAGGAGUCUAAAAGUGAGGAAACCUCACUUCCUGUACAUGUGUUGUGGAGGGAAGCUCGUGUGGGCAAGAGUCAAGCUGUCGAUCCCGAAGUUCAGAGAGUUUUUACUGAAUGUGAGACCUUGUCGCAAUCGGCAUCCACCGGUGAAG